rnacentral:sRNA from 1 species
CGCAUAUCUACCUUCACUGGCGUACGUUUGGGCUAUACAUAUCAAUGGUCCACACCUAGACAGCGCUGGUUCAAAGGAGGCGAUGUAAGUUUACAAAGGAUGUUCAUGUCAUUGCGCCGCAAAGGAUAAUCAUUCUACUUCUGAAAUAUGAUAGGGUGAGAAGAAUAUACAUCUCCAUCAGAUAUACAACGAUGUACGGAAUUACAACAAGCCUGUCAAGCUGAACGAUGCCAUCUAUCUGUCUCACCGCGCUACUACAAAAACUAUGUACCACCACCACAAUUACUGCAACGGUGUGAUCCGCCUAUUGAAAUCUAUCUUCUGACCAGUUGUUCUGCCAUAUGAGCUGGAUAACCCCAUAGGGGUCCUCCCGGGAGCGACGCAUAAGGUACCUCGGCCUUACCGACGCUGUAGCAAAAUCGCCUGUGAUCGGGUUUCUGGUAUCUGAGAUACUUUGGCUGACCAUAAGAAUGACCGUGGGGCAUGACUGAUCCCCAUCCGAAAAGUGGACUAGGCCCAAACCCCAAGUCUUGUAGAGGUUGAGCUGGAGCAAGAGGGUGAGGUCUGAGGAAGGCGGCACCUAAAAGAGGUAAAGAAUGGGUGUGCAUUGGUGGGUGGGAAACUGCAGGUGCACCAGCGGAGAGGAAACCACCCUCAGGGUUGUCAUAAAACAUCUGUGCCCUCUCAGGUCGCAAUGUGGUGUAUCCAUGAUGAGUGCAGCUAUCAGCUGUGAG